rnacentral:piRNA from 1 species
UGUGGGAGUCAAAGUUGUGUUAACUG